rnacentral:rRNA from 1 species
AUUGAACGCUGGCGGCAGGCCUAACACAUGCAAGUCGAGCGGACGAAGGGAGCUUGCUCCUGGCUUCAGUUGCGGACGGGCGAGUAAUGCACAGGAAUCUGCCUGGUAGUUGGGGAUAACGUCAGGAAACGGGCGCUAAUAUCGCAUACGUCCUGAUGGUGAAAGUGGGGGAUCUUCGGACCUCACGCUAUCUGCUGACCCUAGGUCGUAUUAGCUAGUUGGUGGGGUAAAGGCCUACCAAGGCGACGAUCCGUAACUGGUCUGAGAGGAUGAUCAGUCACACUGGAACUGAGACACGGUCCAGACUCCUACGGGAGGCAGCAGUGGGGAAUAUUGGACAAUGGGCGAAAGCCUGAUCCAGCCAUGCCGCGUGUGUGAAGAAGGUCUUCGGAUUGUAAAGCACUUUAAGUUGGGAGGAAGAGAAGUAAGUUAAUACCUGGCUGUUUUGACGGUACCAAAAGAGUAAGCACCGGCUAACUUCGUG